UACGUAGGGGGCAAGCGUUGUCCGGAAUCAUUGGGCGUAAAGCGCACGUAGGCGGAUUUGUAAGUCAGGGGUGAAAUCCCGGGGCUCAACCUCGGAACUGCCUUUGAUACUGCAAAUCUCGAGUCCGAUAGAGGUGGGUGGAAUUCCUAGUGUAGAGGUGAAAUUCGUAGAUAUUAGGAAGAACACCGGUGGCGAAGGCGGCCCACUGGAUCGGUACUGACGCUGAGGUGCGAAAGCGUGGGGAGCAAACAGG
rnacentral:rRNA from 1 species